rnacentral:rRNA from 1 species
UGGGGAAUUUUGGACAAUGGGGGAAACCCUGAUCCAGCCAUCCCGCGUGUGCGAUGAAGGCCUUCGGGUUGUAAAGCACUUUUGGCAGGAAAGAAACGUCAUGGGUUAAUACCCCGUGAAACUGACGGUACCUGCAGAAUAAGCACCGGCUAACUACGUGCCAGCAGCCGCGGUAAUACGUAGGGUGCAAGCGUUAAUCGGAAUUACUUGGCGUAAAGCGUGCGCAGGCGGGUCGGAAAGAAAGAUGUGAAAUCCCAGAGCACAACUUUGGAACUGCAUUUAUAACUACCGGGCUAGAGUGUGUCAGAGGGAGGUGGAAUUCCGCGUGUAGCAGUGAAAUGCAUAGAUAUGCGGAGGAACACCGAUGGCGAAGGCAGCCUCCUGGGAUAACACUGACGCUCAUGAACGAAGGCGUGGGGAGCAAACAGG